GAUUGGGGAGGGGCAGGAGAGGAGGGAUGUAAACAAAGGCAAACUCCCUUAGUUUCCAUUCCAUUGCUCCCAAACUCCUUCAAACCCUUAGGGAGCACCGGCCAGCUCGCUAGGCUUGUGCUGGGUCUGGACUCCAUUUCCCAGAGUUCCUCGGCGCCUAGUGCGUGGGUGCACGUCGGAGCGCGCCUGCGCGCUGGUGGCUCCGCGUCCCGGGGCAGCGGAAGUUCACGCAGCGUUCAGAGCCGGGGCUGUUGCUCCACCCGCGCUCGCGGGGGUCUUUUGCUGUACACCUUCCAUUCCAGGCAGUUUGCGAGCGCAACACCCGGCCGGCCCCGCUGCUUCUCCUUCCGCUGCUGUCGCUGGGUCCGAGGCCACCCCCACGCGCCGGGGACUUUGCCUGCCCCUCACGCUCCGCCUUGCUGCACCUGCGUGUCCUGGAGCGCGCCGCCGGGCUCCCCGCCAAUUCCCCCGGCAAGUGCGGAGACCAGGGAGGGGCGUGGACGCGGGUGCGUGCGGGUGCGAGGGCGGCUGGCGGCUGGCGGCUGGCGGCUGGCGGCUCGGGGACCCGGCUCUGGGUGCGCUGCCCAGCGAGCCGGCGCCCCGAUCCGGGCUGUGGCGGCUCCGACCGCAGCCUUCCAGCCUCCCGGCGCCCCGCGGGCCCCGUGCGCUGCUUCCCUCCAACUUUCCGCCAUGCAUUUUGUUCUGGGCGAGCCUGGUAGGCGAGAGGACGGCGGAAGAAGGCAGCGGGACUCCCCUCGUCCAUAUUUUCAUAGAGCCCCGGUCCCACUUUGGCUUGGUGGAGAGAAUGCCCUCUGGCCGGGCUUCCUGGUCAACCCUGCGGCGGUUCCGGCGGCAGAGCGGGGCUGGUGGCCCCCAGCAAGGAGCCCGGGGCGGCGGGCAGAUGGCUCAGCCUCGCUGCCCCCACUCUGCACGCGCACAACCCGCAAGUGUGUUUCCCACGGCAGUGCUCGUGUCCUGCUACUGUGUGAAGAGCUGCCUAGAGACAGCUGUCGGCCCACCUGCUGAAGAAGCGUAUUGCAUGGAUGUUCAUCUGGGAGACGGCCGAGAAUAGGAUGUGUCAACUUGGCAGGUCAUUCCCUGUGCUCCUGGACUUGCUAG
rnacentral:lncRNA from 1 species